GAGCACUGGUUCUGUUUUUUCCUUCAGGUUGGAUGAGCGUGCUGAGAAAAGGAAGGAGUUCUUCACGAAGAUGGAAGAGAAAAUUCAUGCUAAGGAAAUGGAGAAGACUAACAUGCAGGCAAAGUCCAAGGAGAGCCAAGAGGCAGAAAUUAAGCAGUUGCGGAAGAGUUUAACAUUUAAAGCGACACCACUGCCGAAUUUUUACCAAGAACCUGAUCCUCCAAAACAGGAAUUAAAGAAGAUACCACCUACUCGUGCUAAAUCGCCAAAGCUUGGUCGGCACAAGCCUUCUGCUGCAGCAGAAAAUGUUUCAAAAGAUACCGUUUCAAGUAAAAUUUCUCGCUCUGAAUCAAGCAAGCUGACUGGAGGUGUAGCAAAUGGUAAAGUGGAAUCUGUAGCGUCAAAGAAAGUGGUUCAGAGGUCUCUCUCG
rnacentral:misc_RNA from 1 species